rnacentral:rRNA from 1 species
ACACACUACUCAGUUAGUUGACUCGUGCCAGGAUGAACGCUAGCGAUAGGCUUAACACAUGCAAGUCGAGGGGUAACAUGGGAGUAGCUUGCUACUUCUGAUGACGACCGGCGGAUGGGUGAGUAACGCGUAUGCAACUUGCCUCUUAGUGGGGAAUAACCCGGAGAAAUCCGGACUAAUACCGCAUACACUUAGUUAUCCGCAUGGAUGAUUAAGGAAAGAUUUAUUGCUAAGAGAUAGGCAUGCGUUCCAUUAGUUGGUUGGUGAGGUAACGGCUCACCAAGGCAUCGAUGGAUAGGGGAGCUGAGAGGCUUAUCCCCCACAUUGGGACUGAGACACGGCCCAA